GUUUUUUGGGGAUACUGGGGGGCUCUGGGAGGGCUCACGCCAAGGAGCACUUCCCAGAACUUCUGCUGCCAGUGUCCUUGUCCUCACAGUGAGACAGAGCCACCCCCUACCUCUGCAGAAGACCCCCAACACUAGCAG